ACUCCUACGGGAGGCAGCAGUGGGGAAUAUUGCACAAUGGGCGAAAGCCUGAUGCAGCCAUGCCGCGUGUAUGAAGAAGGCCUUCGGGUUGUAAAGUACUUUCAGUUGUGAGGAAGGGGGUAUUGUUAAUAGCUGCAUCUCUUGACGUUAGCAACAGAAGAAGCACCGGCUAACUCCGUGCCAGCAGCCGCGGUAAUAC
rnacentral:rRNA from 1 species